AACGAACGCUGGCGGCAGGCUUAACACAUGCAAGUCGAGCGCCCCGCAAGGGGAGCGGCAGACGGGUGAGUAACGCGUGGGAAUCUACCCUGAACUGCGGAAUAGCUCCGGGAAACUGGAAUUAAUACCGCAUAUGCCCUGAGGGGCAAAGGUUUAUCUGGUUUAGGAUGAGCCCGCGUUGGAUUAGCUAGUUGGUGGGGUAAAGGCCUACCAAGGCGACGAUCCAUAGCUGGUCUAAGAGGAUGAUCAGCCACAUUGGGACUGAGACACGGCCCAAACUCCUACGGGAGGCAGCAGUGGGGAAUAUUGGACAAUGGGCGCAAGCCUGAUCCAGCCAUGCCGCGUGAGUGAUGAAGGCCCUAGGGUUGUAAAGCCCUUUCACCGGGGACGAUAAUGACGGUACCCGGAGAAGAAGCCCCGGCUAACUUCGUGCCAGCCGCCGCCGUAA
rnacentral:rRNA from 1 species